GUUAUACUCCCUCCGUCCAACAAAAGAUGUCUCAAGUUUGUCAAAGAUAUCUCAAGUUUGUCAAAAUUUGGAUGUAUCUAGACAUGACUUAGUGUAUAGAUGCAUUCAAAUUUAGUCAAAGUUGAGACAUCCUUUGUUGGACGGAGGAAGUAGUCG
rfam:Brachypodium distachyon strain Bd21 chromosome 2, whole genome shotgun sequence.